rnacentral:rRNA from 1 species
CUAUUAUUUUAAGUGUUAAUUUAGUAAACCUGGGUAGUAGUAGUUAGUUUCUUUAAACCCAAAGAAUUUGGCGGUAUUUCAUUCCAUUCAGAGGAACCUAUCUUGUAAUUGAUAGUACACGAUUUACUUUACUUAAUUUAUUUGUUUGUAUAUCUCCGUUAUCAGAAAAUCUUUUUAAAGUUAUAAUUUUCUUAUUUUUUUAUUAGAGUUUAUUUCAGGUCAAGGUGCAGUUUAUAAUUAAGUUUAUGACGGGUUACAAUAAUUUUAUAUUAUUAUGGAUUUUUUUUUGAAAUAUUUUAAUGAAGGUGGAUUUGAAGGUAAUUUGAUUUAUUUAAUUUGAAUGAUAUUGGCUCUGAAGUGUGUACACAUCGCCC